CGCGCCCCCGCGCCGCGGGAGCCGGGGACCCACUGCUUCUGGGGUGAAUCCGCCGCGUGCGGUAGGGCGGCUCCUGGCCCGAACCCGUCAGCUAACCCGGUAGGCGGUCCCAGAGGAGAUAA
rnacentral:sRNA from 2 species